CAGCCGCCACGGUAAUACGAGGGGUGCAAGCGUUAUUCGGAUUGAUUGGGUGUAAAGGGUGUGCAGACGGCUUAUUAAGUCACUUGUUAAAUUCUUCGGCCUAACUGAAGGUCUGCAAGUGAUACUGAUGAGCUAGAGGGUGGAAGAGAGAAGUGGAAUUCUCGGAGUAGUGGUAAAAUGCGUAGAUCUCGAGAGGAACACCAAUGGCGAAGGCAGCUUCUUGGUCCAUUCCUGACGUUCAUACACGAAAGCGUGGGGAGCAAACAGGAUUAGAUACCCGCGUAGUCCCUGUCUCUUAUAC
rnacentral:rRNA from 1 species